UCGGAUGUGGUGUAUGGUGCACACCAGCUUCAUAUAUCCCACGAAAGGUCAUAUAAGCUGAAGGCCGGGGUUCGACUCCCCGCAUCCGAA